UUUGAUAUUUACUAAACUACAUUAUUAAGUUAUAUUAAUGUAUUUUUUAUUUUUGUUAUUACACAAUUGACCCUAACUAAUUGAUGAUAUAACUUUGUUAUAAGGGGCAUAAUAAGAAGCACAAAAAUGUUAAAAAACAAAAAAAUAUUCAUGCUUUUAAAGUUGGUAGAUGUAGAGAUAAACAUGUUACGAGCCCGUUUUCACUAGUGAAUUCAAACCACGCAUUUCAUCCUAGUUGAAUACCGGCCCACCGUAUCCGACUAUUUAUUACCCGAGUAUUCUAUUAAUCUUACAAUUUUCAAAACAAGAGAUGUGCAUAUUUUCGAAAUAAUUGUCAUGCAUUAUCAAACAACAAUAUCCACACGUAACAUCACAAUUAUCAAUAAAGUGUAAUAUAAUCCAUCAUAUAUGCCGGUCAUCCCAUCAUCCAUGUCUCAAGUACACAUACACGCACUGUCCCACACACGGCACACGCACAUACACGCAUACCAUACACCCAUUAUCAUUAACACAUAUUAAUUAGUCAAAUCAUGCUUGUAAAGCAAAUGCACUUUUCUUUCAACCUUUAAUGAAUUUCUUGUCAAUUUUAGACAUUUAACUCACAAUAAAUUCUAACAGUAUAUUAAAUAUGUUCCUGAUGAAAAUUAAAGUACAUUAUCCCACAAUUCAUCAUUUAUAGCACACCAUAUCCAAAUAUAGUAAUUAAAUUACAAGAAUAUCAUAAAUAGCACAUAAACCAUUAAAAUUCAAAAUAAUAGUAAAUGACUUUAAAAAAGUCACAAAUUAAAUUUUAGGACUCUUAACUAACCAAGUUUCAAGAUUAUUGAAUUAUUUUACAGUUUUAUAAAAUUUUGAAUUUUUAAUAAUUUAAAAACUAGAAAACUCUUGAACAAAAAAUAAUUUUCUCGCAUAGAUCUAAUUAAAUCAUAAAUAUUUUCAAUUAUAUCUUACUUCAAAGCUACUUAAAGUAAUGUUUAAAACUUACUUCGUGCAAAUCUUUCAAAAAAUUGUAGAUUUGACCCCAAAAUCUCUAGAUUUGCACAUGCAAAUCACUAAAAGUUCAAAAAUUUAUUUUUCUUGCAAAAAUCCUUGUAAAUCUGAAAUCUUCAAACUUUUGAAAAAUAAAAACUUUUAUCUACUCAUUAUAAACAAACAAAACAUGCGAGAACCAAAAAUCAAAGAUCAACACAACUUUUCCAUUUUUCCCAAAAACCCAAAAAUUCCAAAUUCAUCAAAAAAUUUUUAAUAUUGUUGAAAACCCUUUUUAAUUAAUACUAUUGAUACCCUUUAACUAUAGCAAGAAAUCUAAAUUUCUUACCUUUAUGGAAUAGAAAAUAAAAGGAUCAAGAGGACUUCAAGAAAUUCCACUCUGUUGAAGAUGUAGGUUUUAUGGAGUUCUUGAAAAAGCUCUAGAGAUAUGGGUAUGGAGAAGAUUUGAAGACCAGAAUAGAAUAUCUUGAAAGAGUUAUAAUGGAAAGAUGAAAAAAUGGAUAGUUAAUCUUGGUGGCUUAUGGUGG
rnacentral:lncRNA from 1 species